rnacentral:rRNA from 1 species
GGGGAAUUUUCCGCAAUGGGCGCAAGCCUGACGGAGCAAUACCGCGUGGGGGAGGAAGGCCCUUGGGUUGUAAACCCCUUUUGUCAGGGAAGAACACAAUGACGGUACCUGACGAAUCAGCCUCGGCUAACUCCGUGCCAGCAGCCGCGGUAAGACGGAGGAGGCAAGCGUUAUCCGGAAUUAUUGGGCGUAAAGCGUCCGCAGGUGGCCCUUCAAGUCUGCUGUUAAAGCCCAGGGCUCAACCCUGGAUCAGCAGUGGAAACUGAUGGGCUAGAGUGCGGUAGGGGCAGAGGGAAUUCCCGGUGUAGCGGUGAAAUGCGUAGAGAUCGGGAAGAACACCAGUGGCGAAAGCGCUCUGCUGGACCGCAACUGACACUCAUGGACGAAAGCUAGGGGAGCGAAUGGGAUUAGAUACCCCAG